CAGGCUGAAAUGCCAUGAAGCUGGGAAAAGGCACGAAAAGCUGAUCCUGUCAGCGGGUAAAAGAAAGGAGAGCCUCAGCAAAGAAUGCCUAAAAUGUCACAGCGGCGAGUUGCAAACCAGGAUUAAAUGGCUUUACUUCCGACACUUGGUGGAACGUGAAUCAGGCAAAAACAACUUGAUAGGUCCCAAGUUCCUCUGUUGCCCUGUAUUGGAAGCUGGCCAUCUCUUCACUACACCCAGACAACUUUGACUUUACUGGACGACAUGCAGUCCCACCAAUCGAGCUGACUGAUUUGC